rnacentral:tRNA from 1 species
GCCCGCUUAGCUCAGAGUCUAGAGCAUUGCAUUUGUAAUGCGAUGGUCAUCGGUUCGACUCCGAUAGUCGGCU